rnacentral:rRNA from 3 species
AAAUUGAAGAGUUUGAUCAUGGCUCAGAUUGAACGCUGGCGGCAGGCCUAACACAUGCAAGUCGAACGGUAACAGGAAGAAGCUUGCUUCUUUGCUGACGAGUGGCGGACGGGUGAGUAAUGUCUGGGAAACUGCCUGAUGGAGGGGGAUAACUACUGGAAACGGUAGCUAAUACCGCAUAACGUCGCAAGACCAAAGAGGGGGACC